UACGGGGGGGGCAAGCGUUGUUCGGAAUUACUGGGCGUAAAGGGCUCGUAGGCGGCCAACUAAGUCAGACGUGAAAUCCCUCGGCUUAACCGGGGAACUGCGUCUGAUACUGGAUGGCUCGAGUUUGGGAGAGGGAUGCGGAAUUCCAGGUGUAGCGGUGAAAUGCGUAGAUAUCUGGAGGAACACCGGUGGCGAAGGCGGCAUCCUGGACCAACACUGACGCUGAUGAGCGAAAGCGUGGGGAGCAAACAGG
rnacentral:rRNA from 1 species